CUGUCGGCUGUGCGCACAGCCAAUUCUUGCUGUGUCGAUGUCGGCGUGGCCAGAAAUAACUCGCACAGGUUUCACUCCGUCGUGAACCGUGAUCAAGAAUCGUUCCUCAUUUGAGUCUACUGCGGUCCGCGAGAAACACAAGAUCACAAUGGCAGCCGAUCUGAAAGACGUUGAAAUUGAGAAGGCACAGUUCGUGUUUUCCGUCUACGAUUUUGAGGGUACAAACAGCAUUGAUGCUUUCGAUAUUGGAGGCGCUCUGCGCGCGCUUAAUCUCAACCCAACCUUGGAACUUAUUGGCAAAAUGGGCGGUACCAAGAAGCGUGGCGAGAAGCGUGUGAAAUUCGAGGAAUUCCUGCCGAUCUUUGCCCAGGUUAAGAAGGAGAAAGAACAAGGAUGCUACGAGGAUUUCCUAGAGUGUUUGAAGCUGUACGACAAAAAUGAGGACGGCACUAUGCUGCUCGCUGAGUUGAACCACAGCUUACUCGCUCUUGGUGAGAAGCUGACCGAGGAUGAACUUGAUGCUGUUUUCAAGGACUGCAUGGACCCCGAGGACGAUGACGGCAACAUCCCAUAUGCCCCCUUCCUCAAGAAAAUGAUGGAUAACAUGGUGGUCAUCAAUCAUUAAGUAAAGUUCUUAAUCAGUUUCUACAUUACUAAAUUUACCAACAAGUAAUAUGUAAGAGUAUUCCAUUUCUCCAGAGAUUGUGUGACUAUGUACCACCAGCAUAUUAGAUCUGUUUCUGCAGUAACUUCUUAUUGCAGAUAUUGUAUGAUGGUUAUAUUAACAGUAAUAGAAUGAAAGAACCACCUACGUCCAGGGAAAAAUCAAUAUGAAGUAACAUCUAUGAUUCAUAAUGAAACUAAUAACGUUUCUUGAACAACAUCAACAUGUAAACAAAUUUUAUAAUUUUUAUUGACAUCUAGUAUGGGAGCGGUUAUUAUUAAUUUCUUUUUUUAAGUUUACUAUAAAAAUAUAUGUAUAAAGAGAUUACAAAAUCCUUUCACAUUA